GCAUUGUGUGUUGUAGGCUAAGCUUGCAAUAGUGUAUAGGCGUGUUGUAAUAUG
rnacentral:tRNA from 1 species